rnacentral:rRNA from 1 species
CCUGAACGCUGGCGGCGUGGCUAAGACAUGCAAGUCGAACGGUCCCGAGCAAUCGGGACAGUGGCGGACGGGUGAGUAAUGUAUCGCUAACGUGCCCCGAUCACAGGGAUAGCUGCCCGAAAGGGCAGGUAAUACCUGAUGACAUACCUUUAUCGCAUGGUGGAGGUCUCAAAGGAGCAAUCCGGAACGGGAGCGGGCGAUAUCGUAUCAGCUUGUUGGUGAGGUAACGGCUCACCAAGGCGACGACGCGUAGCCGGACUGAGAGGUUGGCCGGCCA